UGAGCUGGCCAGGCGGCCGCGUCGAGACACGUUCUCGCCGAGGAACGUCCGGGCUCCACAGAGCACGGUGGUGGCUAACGGCCACCCGGGGUGACCCGCGGGACAGUGCCACAGAAAACAGACCGCCUGCUGCGUGCGGCAGGUAAGGGUGAAACGGUGGUGUAAGAGACCACCAGCGGUGCAGGUGACUGCGCCGGCUCGGUAAACCCCACCGGGAGCAAGGUCAGACAGCGUGCGCUUGAGGGCUGCUCGCCCGAGCACGCGGGUAGACCGCUAGAGGUGGCUGGCAACAGUCACCCGAGAUGGAUGGUCGCCCGCCGUCGUCAGUUCGCUGGCGGUGGCGACAGAACCCGGCGUACCGGCCAGCUCAUCCU
rnacentral:RNase_P_RNA from 2 species